AUUGAACGCUGGCGGCAUGCCUUACACAUGCAAGUCGAACGGUAACAGGUCUUCGGAUGCUGACGAGUGGCGAACGGGUGAGUAAUACAUCGGAACGUGCCCGAUCGUGGGGGAUAACGCAGCGAAAGCUGUGCUAAUACCGCAUACGAUCUACGGAUGAAAGCGGGGGAUCGCAAGACCUCGCGCGGACGGAGCGGCCGAUGGGCAGAUUAGGUAGUUGGUGGGAUAAAAGCUUACCAAGCCGACGAUCUGUAGCUGGUCUGAGAGGACGACCAGCCACACUGGGACUGAGACACGGCCCAGACUCCUACGGGAGGCAGCAGUGGGGAAUUUUGGACAAUGGGCGCGAAGCCUGAUCCAGCCAUGCCGCGUGCAGGAUGAAGGCCUGGUGU
rnacentral:rRNA from 1 species